AAUUAAACAGCCAGAAUAACAAAGGAGUGGCUUCGUAAAAAGCUGAAGGAAUUUGGCUUCCCAGCCAAGCCGCCGAAACAGCGACAGCCGAACCAGGAGGCGCAGCUCCAGCAAGUCGGCCAUAAGGCCAAACUCUUAACCCUUUGUACUGACUCCAUUUUGAACGGCUUAAAGAAAGCUCACCUGGAACAAGUUGAAAAUUUAUUCAUUGACAGUGAUCAAAAAGCAAGGCAAAAACAGACGGUGGAAAGGCACUGCUGGAUCCAGGGUCAGAAUAACAACGGAUACAUCAAAAUGUCCCCGAGAAGCGACAGUUGGUAGCUAAAUGUUCAGUCUUGGAAAGCUGCAGUGGAGUGGGCCGGGCGGAAGGCGUGCCUGGGUGUUGUCUUGGGAUCAUCCUUCUUUGGCAGGUUUGAGCGGUCAAGUUCGUGUAUCAUCUUUCAUGGCUGGGUCGUGGUUGCCACGGCAACUGUCGCAUGUCUUGACGUCUAAGGCGCCGAGCUAUCUACUUGUUAUCUCGGUAGGGCGAGGGUGUUCUGACCCCACCGAAGAGUCGCUGAUGUCUUCUCCUUACCUUAUCAGGCAAGGGCUGAUGAGCUGGUCCACUUUACUGUGUCAAAGGGCAUGGAGUACGUCUCCUUAAACUAUGGUUAAAUGCUUUACUAUAAUGAAUGUGUUAGACUAAUGCAAACAGUUAUACGGUGUCUGCGAGAAAUGUAACUAUCCCCUUCAAAGCACAGCAAGGUUCUGGAGGGGCCUAGCCAGUCUCCAGACCUAAACCCAAUAGAAAAUCUUUGGAGGAAGCUCAAACUCAAUUUUUCACUGACAGUCCAGAAACAUGAUUGAUCUAGAGAUCUGUGUGGAACAGUGGUGCAUUAUCCCUGCAGGAAACAUUUGACCUCUGUAAUUGUAAUCAAAGGCUACCUUACCAAAUAUUACCAAUGAUUUUCACAGGUGUUCAAAUACUUAUUUGCAGCAGUAUAAUACAAAUAAACUGAUGGAAAAAAUCGUACACUCUGAUUUCUGGAUUUUUAAAAAAAGAUUGUUUCUCACAGUGGACAAGCACCUACCUCGAAAAUUUCAAAUCACCCAUCAUUUUCAAGUGGGAGAAUUUGGAAAAUUACUGGGUGUUCAAAUAUUUAUUUUCCUCACUGUAACUAGACGUCUGCUUGGGAAGCUAAGCCUUCCUGUGUGGGUUUUCUUUGGUACUCCAGUUUUUGCACAAAUUCCCAAAAUAAGAGCGUUAGGUUGACUGAGGAUUCCAAUCACUGAAUGGUCUCUGUAACCGUUGUCAGCCAGAGUCAGCUGGUAUAGGCUCCAUCUCAUCUGUGACAUUUUGUAUGUUGUUCUUGUAGCUUGUACGUACAAUGGACUUCACCUGACAUGCCCGAAUAUAUUUAGGACGGGGAUAAGGUCAAACUCACCUGUCGCCAUUCCGAUCUGCAACACAGGUGAGACCAGGUGACUCACUGAGUCGGGCAUAUACCCUUUGCUGUCCUGUAACAAGAGAAAGGCCUUCCUCUGAGCCCUGAGUCCCUCCUCCUCCUCCUCCAUCGCCACCAGUCGUACUAGUGACGGCUGAUAACUCCGAACUUGCCUCUGACCCCUGACCAUUGUUCAGUCCGUUAAGAUUGAUACCAGCAAUGGUGCCGCCGAGCGAAGCUGGCGUAGCAGUGCUAAGAGAGUCGAUGCCCAUCUCUGAAUCAUCUUCUGGUUCGAUUGAGCCGCUCAGCGGGACACCCCCUCCGCUGGCCCGACUGGCCGGCCGCCCCAGACUUCCAAAGGGCAACCCGAGCAGACCCUCGGAGUCGUCGGCAUUACUACACUCCAGCGAGGAAUCCUCCACGGGCACCAGGGAGGGGGAGUUACCGCAGGGCCACACCUGCACGUCGGACAUCUCCAUGAGGGUGUCCUCCUCCGUGGUUGCAAUGGGCGCACAGUCCAGGCUGGAAACCUCCUGCCAGUACGGCUCAGCACCCAGAGGCGAGGGCAGGCUGUACUGCAUGGAGGCCGGGGACAGAAGCUCAUCAGGCGCCAGCCCAUAACCUGGAGCGACACACAGAGAAGCACACUGACACCCGGCCCCCCCGCCUCGCUCCCCACCAAUAGCACCGAGAGCCCGGGAGGGGAGAGAGUGCCCUGCCGGGAGGUGUAGAGGGGGCCGAAGGGGAAGGAAAUGGGAAAGGAGCGGGAAGGGAAUAUAGGAACAAGCCAAAACAAUCAGAGAGGGAAUUAAGGUGCAAAGUGCUUAAGAAAUAAGAGCAAGGACUUUUAGAAGGUGGGGGAGUGGGGGUCAAGUGCUGACAGGUGCGAGGAACGGGCAGUAGAAGCAGCAGCAGGCACAGAUGGACCAACAGAUUAGAAUAAGGCCCACUUGAGACUGAUGCUGCCCUGCGGGCUGCCACCUGCCGGGAGACCGCAGAAGUUGUAAGCCUCCAUAACUGGAGCUGGCUGGUCCAUCCAACAUGCUAUAAUCAACCCGCUCUCAUCCACACACACGCGAUAUCUUCGCACACUGCAUGCAUUCAACUCCACUCAAAGAUAACAGGCAGGUUAAUAUUGUAGUCAGGCUGGAGGACAUGCUUUCAGGCAGUCUCAUUCGCACACACGCAUAUCCUUUGUGGUCUCAAAACCAAGGGCGUAGGUUUGGUCUCAACAUUGGUAGGGACGAUAUAACAGCAUAAGAUGCAUGUACACUUUUUACUGGGGACGGGACAUUAAUAAGACCAAACAGAUUAUUGAACGAGUGUCAGGGCUACAUUCCUCACGAAUAUGAACCUAUUUAAUUGAUAGGCGAAAUAAUCUAUGCAAAAAUAAAUCUGUAUUGACUUCGACAGCAGCGGGGCUGGCCCUUCCCAACUCAAUGCUGACUGAACUGGAGUAUAUAAAAAUGCGUAGGGGAAAUUUAAACUAUGAAGAGUGAACUGCGUGGUACCCCAAGUCACAGAGGCGCACAAUCAGUUUCGUUUUCAUGACAUUUUCACCUGACAAAACUAUCGCCACUUCCAGGCGCGCCACUGUUAUGCAGUACACUGUUAUUUUCCAAGAGGUGAGUGUGUAACCGGGUCCGCGCCGCGUUCCGAUCCCCCUCGCUCAGGUCAGGACUCAAUCCCGCGCCGCACGACGCGUUCACACACGGCAGGCGGAGGUACUAACCACUAGGCCAUAAGCCGCCAGCGCACCCUCAUAACGGCAUCGGAUGGAAGGUUUUUCCACGCACCGCACACACGGACCUGCGUGUACCCGUUACACUCAUCCCCCGAAAACCUUCACUGCCGAUCCGGGUAACGGCACCAUUGUAACCGGGUCCGCGGGUUCCGAUCCCCCUCAUCCAGGUCAGGACUUGAAUCUGCGCCGCACGACGCGUCUACACGGCAGGCAAGGGCACUAACCGCUAGGCACCCACAUGAAGGCAUCGGAGGGAAGGUUUUUCCAUGCACCGCACACACGUACCUGCGUGUACCCGUUACAAGUGCGCAACUACCAUCGAUUGUAACAUCCCAAGUAACGAUGUCAGGCUUUCGUUGUUGUUUUCUAAAGAUUUAUUUCAGUCACAAUUCGGCGGCUGUUUGUAAAAGCCGAGUGUGCCCUCAGUCCCUUCAUUCUAGCUCCUGAGUGAUGAUUCAUUGUGUUCACGAAAAAAAAAACUGAUCACAAAACAGAGUUUGCGACCCCUGGUCUAGAAGGUGGAGUAAUUUUGAAAUUUCCCGCCGGCAAGUAACGGUUCAGAGGUAAACGGCGUGGACACAACACAUGAGGCUGCUCCUUUCUACGCAUGCGUAGUUUGCACAAAUGCAGCUGUACAUUGCAGAAGCCGGGGGGCCUUAAACGCACCUUAAUUCUAGUGCGGACAGGUAUAAAAACAGUUGGCAAAAUACCCCGGAGAAAAUUAUCUGUCCUAGUGUAGACGAAGUUGGUUCAUAGACUUCAUAAUUAUUGACGGGAUACGGGGCCAAUUAUUAGGGGGUCUGCACUGUUGGCGUGGCCGUCAAAGCUGACGGACUGAAAUCACAGACAAAGAGCUUUUUUUACAUAUAUAUUGCGAACUACUGUAUAAUGCUAGUCAGUAAGCAAAUGUAGCUGCUGCCAUAUGAAAACAAAGCUUUUUCCGUUGAAAAUUCUCGUGAAUAAAUGCUUAAAUCCCUGAAUUCUUCAUCGAUAUGGAUGUAAAUCAGCCUCGAUUCUUGGUUAAAAGCAGAAAAAUCGUGCAGUUAGCAUUUAUUUCACAUAAAUAUUGUGAACUAUGACGCUACCCAUAGCAAAAAUCUGCUACUCAUCUGUUGCUUAAUCUCGUCUUGUGAGACGAAUUUGAUCAUCUCAAAUUUAUCUCAUUCUCUGCUUAUUUGUUUCUGAGUUUGUGCUCCUAAGAGUACCCUUAGGAGCAAGUGAUGAGUCAAAUUGAGCAAAGACAUCAUUGAGACAAAGGAGGUUGAUUUGAGAAAGCCAGGUUUGAGCAAUAUUUGAGAAGAGAAAUUCUCUUAAUUAAAAAUGGAGUUAGACUUGUACAGCACCGUUCGGGCACUCAAAGCACUUUGACACUAUAAUCCUCAUCUACCUGCUGGUGACGCAACAACGUGGGGUUCAGUGUCUUGCUCAAGAAUACUUAGAUGAAUUCAUCAGGACAGAGAGUUGAACUCACAACCUCUGGGUUGGGGAACGACUUCUCUACCACUGAGCCACACACUGGCUCAGAUGCACUGAGCUCGAUGUGACGUGGCACAGAAAUGGAAAGCAACUUUAGAAACAGCGUGUAGCAGCGAUGAAGAAAAUUGAUUAUAUUUUUGUUCAUUUAACCCCUGGGUGUUAUUUGUCCAUUUUUUGGCUUUUUUCGUUUUUUUCUGUGUUUAAAAGGAAAAAAAGCAUAUGAAAAAAUACACUAGGGAGCUGAUAUUUCCUGCAGGAUACUAAAUCAUGUAGAAGUUCGAAAUGGCACCAUCCGGCAAUUUCUAACUUAUUGCAAACAGGCUGGGAAAAUUUGCACUAAACUCUUGUUAUUUUGCCAUUUUUUGGCUCAUUGACUCCCAUUAUAAAUCAUGAUUUUUAAUAUGCUGUAAACCUGAUGUUUUAUAAUGCAUUUUCCGUGAUUAUUGAUGCAAUCGCUUCUUUGGCGAGUCAAAAACAUGCAGAUAAAAAUUUUUUUGUGUUGACACCCAGAAGUCACUAGAUGAAGCCAUAGGCCAAUACAUGAAUUUGCUUGCGAAGCUAGCUUCAGAUCGGUCAAAAAUUAAUGCAAUAAAGACGGUUGGCUUUACCAAAAAAAUGGUGUCAAUGUUGUCUGAGCUCACUUUCAGUCUAUUUGGGCAUGCGUAUUUGCAAUUUUGCACGUUUGCACAAGACAAUAAAAAGGUACUUCCCGGAAAUGCAAAAAAACCAAAACAAAAAACCACGUGUUUAUUGUUGUCGUUUGAAUUUCAACUUUUAUUGGUCGGGUGUUUGAAUUUCUUUACUCUCAUUGGUUCUGGGCAUUUUGGGAGUCUCUGUUCUCGCGAGGAUCACCAUUUUGCAUUUCUUCCAACACAACUGUGAUCGAUGGCGGCGAGAAGUAUUUCACCGCAGGACACGAUUCGAAUGGUGUUAGAAAAUCCUGAUUCCGACGACGACGACCUUUGUUCGGACGCUUCUUUGGAGAGCCCAGAAGACAUUGAACAAAUUCUUCCGGACUUUCGAUGCCGGAGGAGGACGGCUUUGAUGACGAGGAUUAGGAAAUAGUUGACAACAUAACGAGAUGAAAGCGGGGAGCAGAAGGCGGGGGCACGGACAUGACCACGUUCAGGCGCAUGACGAAAAUGACGGCGAUCGAGGCCUGUGGCACAUACUCCUGCCGCCGGCGCGCACUCAGGUGGCCAAGUGUGAGUUUUUUCACAUGCCGGACAUUUCGUCAUGCAGCGCGUUUGUGCUGUUCACGGAGAUCUACCCUCGUUUGUGCUGUUCACGGAGAUCUACCCUGAGUGGAACGUGAAGAAAAGCUACAAGCGCCGACUAUUUCUUGAGGAACUUGGCAAGGCUCUAAUUCGGCCAGAAGUCCUAAAACGGGAACCACCGCCAUCUGCCGAAGGCUUGGUUGAGCAGCGAGCUGGACCCCCGUCCAAGCGCAAACAAUGUGGCCUUUGCACAAAGCCACUUCGGGCUUCGAACAUAAUAAUAAAUAAUAAUACAUUUUAUUUAUAACGCACUUUACAUUUGAACAACAAAUCUCAAAGUGCACAUCAUGAAUUGUGUAUGUUGUUAUUAUGUUAACUGUUAUAUUGUAUGUAUGUUUUGUAAAAUUGUUAACAUAAAUUCUAUCAUCAAAUCA